ensembl:snoRNA LOC120097982 small nucleolar RNA SNORA48
UACCACAGGCAAUGGGCAAAGAAACGCCUUGGUGGUGAUGCUCUUCUCUCGGUCAGGGGUAGAGCAGAUGGCAACCCUUUGUUCGUCCUAGCCUGACGCCUGUCUUGGUGACCAAAGCUGUUUUAUGCCUAGGACACAUAA